CUCCGAGACCGGAGGUCGAUAGCAGGUUGAGUCAGUUGAGGUUGAGAUAGAUCUUCUGAUGCUUACCGGGCCAGUGAAAUGUUCUAGUGAGUUGGAACCAGAUGCGGCAUAGUUCACGGCAACCUCUGCCGGCC